AGCUCCAAUAGCGUAUAUUAAAGUUGUUGCGGUUAAAAGCUCGUAGUUGGAUUUCUGUUGAGGGCGGCCGGUCCGCACUUUGUGCGUGUAUCUGGUUCGGCCUCGGCAUCCUCUUGGGGAACGUAUCUGCAAUUGAUUUUGUGGUGCGGUGUCCAAGACUUUUACUUUGAGGAAAUUAGAGUGUUCACGGCAGGCAAUCGCCUUGAAUAUAUUAGCAUGGAAUAAUAAUAUAGGCAUGAGUUCCUAUUUUGUUGGUUUCUAGGAAUUCAUGAAUGAUAAAUAGGGACACUUGGGGGCAUUCGUAUUACGACGUCAGAGGUGGAAUUCUUAGAUUGUCGUACGACGAACUACUGCGAAAGCAUUUGCCAAGGAUGUUUUCAUUGAUCAAGAACGAAAGU
rnacentral:rRNA from 1 species